CCUUCAUUGGAGCUAUUUGAUGAUUUUUGAAAAGCUACAAAGGAAGGAGGGAGUUCGUCGGAGUUCGUGUUGCCGCCGCCAGAAGUAAAUUUGCUGCUACCAUUUGCCGCUCGUUUGCUGCCUAUUGGAGUGGUGGUCACCGAAGUGCUACUGCUAGCCAAAAAAGGACGCCGGAGAUCUGCUAUAUUUGUGCCAUGGAGGUUGGGUGUUGCCAAAAUCCCCGCUACCUUAUCUGUUGCCAGAGUUACUACGCCACUGCCUCUGGUUCGUGAAGGUCACCGGAAGUAAGUCAACCGCUACUCUGUCAGAUUUGCCACCGUGGAAUGGGUUUGUAGAGUGGGCCACCGGGUCAUACCGAGUUUGCUACCAGAGAAUCUGCUGGAAUGUCGCGGGAAUGCUACUGGAAGCUACCGGAUCCUGCCGGAGUUCGCUGUGCUGCUGUUGGAGUUUGUUGCACUGCUGUCGGAGUUCGUUGCACUGCAUCGGAGUUCACUGUGGGUGUUCUGGUGGAGCUUGAAAUUGAGAAGGAAGAAGAAGAAAAGAUGGAAGGAGAAAUGAGUUGUAGAGAGAGGAAAGAAAGAAAAUAAAAUAAAAAAGGAAAAGAAAAUGGGUGUUUGAAGAGAGAAAGAGGGAAUUGUGGUGGUGAGGUAGAAGAUGAAGGGAAAGAAGAAGAAAAGCAAGUAAAAGUAGGACAGAGAUGGUGAGAUUUUAGAGAAGAAAAAGGAAAAAAUAAGAAAAAUGAAGUUGAGGUUUUUGGUGGGAGAGAAUGACUUCCUUAGAAAUCAAAUUCUAGCUUCUGUAUUGCUCUCUCUUUUUGUUUCCUCCUUUCUACAUGACCUUUCAGUGUUCAUUUUU